UACGGGGGGGGCAAGCGUUGUUCGGAAUUACUGGGCGUAAAGGGCUCGUAGGCGGCCAACUAAGUCAGACGUGAAAUCCCUCGGCUUAACCGGGGAACUGCGUCUGAUACUGGAUGGCUUGAGUUUGGGAGAGGGAUGCCGGAAUUCCAGGUGUAGCGGUGAAAUGCGUAGAUAUCGGGAGGAACACCAAUGGCGAAGGCGGGUCUCUGGACAAGUUCCUGACGCUGAGGCACGAAGGUCAGGGGAGCAAACGGG
rnacentral:rRNA from 1 species